rnacentral:rRNA from 2 species
GCGCCAUGGCGGCGUGCUAAUACAUGCAAGUCGAACGAACUCUGGUAUUGAUUGGUGCUUGCAUCAUGAUUUACAUUUGAGUGAGUGGCGAACUGGUGAGUAACACGUGGGAAACCUGCCCAGAAGCGGGGGAUAACACCUGGAAACAGAUGCUAAUACCGCAUAACAACUUGGACCGCAUGGUCCGAGUUUGAAAGAUGGCUUCGGCUAUCACUUUUGGAUGGUCCCGCGGCGUAUUAGCUAGAUGGUGGGGUAACGGCUCACCAUGGCAAUGAUACGUAGCCGACCUGAGAGGGUAAUCGGCCACAUUGGGACUGAGACACGGCCCAAACUCCUACGGGAGGCAGCAGUAGGGAAUCUUCCACAAUGGACGAAAGUCUGAUGGAGCAACGCCGCGUGAGUGAAGAAGGGUUUCGGCUCGUAAAACUCUGUUGUUAAAGAAGAACAUAUCUGAGAGUAACUGUUCAGGUAUUGACGGUAUUUAACCAGAAAGCCACGGCUAACUACGUGCCAGCAGCCGCGGUAAUACGUAGGUGGCAAGCGUUGUCCGGAUUUAUUGGGCGUAAAGCGAGCGCAGGCGGUUUUUUAAGUCUGAUGUGAAAGCCUUCGGCUCAACCGAAGAAGUGCAUCGGAAACUGGGAAACUUGAGUGCAGAAGAGGACAGUGGAACUCCAUGUGUAGCGGUGAAAUGCGUAGAUAUAUGGAAGAACACCAGUGGCGAAGGCGGCUGUCUGGUCUGUAACUGACGCUGAGGCUCGAAAGUAUGGGUAGCAAACAGGAUUAGAUACCCUGGUAGUCCAUACCGUAAACGAUGAAUGCUAAGUGUUGGAGGGUUUCCGCCCUUCAGUGCUGCAGCUAACGCAUUAAGCAUUCCGCCUGGGGAGUACGGCCGCAAGGCUGAAACUCAAAGGAAUUGACGGGGGCCCGCACAAGCGGUGGAGCAUGUGGUUUAAUUCGAAGCUACGCGAAGAACCUUACCAGGUCUUGACAUACUAUGCAAAUCUAAGAGAUUAGACGUUCCCUUCGGGGACAUGGAUACAGGUGGUGCAUGGUUGUCGUCAGCUCGUGUCGUGAGAUGUUGGGUUAAGUCCCGCAACGAGCGCAACCCUUAUUAUCAGUUGCCAGCAUUAAGUUGGGCACUCUGGUGAGACUGCCGGUGACAAACCGGAGGAAGGUGGGGAUGACGUCAAAUCAUCAUGCCCCUUAUGACCUGGGCUACACACGUGCUACAAUGGAUGGUACAACGAGUUGCGAACUCGCGAGAGUAAGCUAAUCUCUUAAAGCCAUUCUCAGUUCGGAUUGUAGGCUGCAACUCGCCUACAUGAAGUCGGAAUCGCUAGUAAUCGCGGAUCAGCAUGCCGCGGUGAAUACGUUCCCGGGCCUUGUACACACCGCCCGUCACACCAUGAGAGUUUGUAACACCCAAAGUCGGUGGGGUAACCUUUUAGGAACCAGCCGCCUAAGUGGACAGAAAAUUGA